UUUAUGGAGAGUUUGAUCCUGGCUCAGAGUGAACGCUGGCGGCGUGCCUAAUACAUGCAAGUCGAACGAUGAAGCUUCUAGCUUGCUAGAAUGCUGAUUAGUGGCGCACGGGUGAGUAACGCAUAGGUUAUGUGCCUCUUAGUUUGGGAUAGCCAUUGGAAACGAUGAUUAAUACCAGAUACUCCCUACGGGGGAAAGAUUUAUCGCUAAGAGAUCAGCCUAUGUCCUAUCAGCUUGUUGGUAAGGUAAUGGCUUACCAAGGCUAUGACGGGUAUCCGGCCUGAGAGGGUGAACGGACACACUGGAACUGAGACACGGUCCAGACUCCUACGGGAGGCAGCAGUAGGGAAUAUUGCUCAAUGGGGGAAACCCUGAAGCAGCAACGCCGCGUGGAGGAUGAAGGUUUUAGGAUUGUAAACUCCUUUUGUUAGAGAAGAUAAUGACGGUAUCUAACGAAUAAGCACCGGCUAACUCCGUGCCAGCAGCCGCGGUAAUACGGAGGGUGCAAGCGUUACUCGGAAUCACUGGGCGUAAAGAGCGCGUAGGCGGGAUAGUCAGUCAGGUGUGAAAUCCUAUGGCUUAACCAUAGAACUGCAUUUGAAACUACUAUUCUAGAGUGUGGGAGAGGUAGGUGGAAUUCUUGGUGUAGGGGUAAAAUCCGUAGAGAUCAAGAGGAAUACUCAUUGCGAAGGCGACCUGCUGGAACAUUACUGACGCUGAUUGCGCGAAAGCGUGGGGAGCAAACAGGAUUAGAUACCCUGGUAGUCCACGCCCUAAACGAUGGAUGCUAGUUGUUGGAGGGCUUAGUCUCUCCAGUAAUGCAGCUAACGCAUUAAGCAUCCCGCCUGGGGAGUACGGUCGCAAGAUUAAAACUCAAAGGAAUAGACGGGGACCCGCACAAGCGGUGGAGCAUGUGGUUUAAUUCGAAGAUACACGAAGAACCUUACCUAGGCUUGACAUUGAGAGAAUCCGCUAGAAAUAGUGGAGUGUCUAGCUUGCUAGACCUUGAAAACAGGUGCUGCACGGCUGUCGUCAGCUCGUGUCGUGAGAUGUUGGGUUAAGUCCCGCAACGAGCGCAACCCCCUUUCUUAGUUGCUAACAGGUUAUGCUGAGAACUCUAAGGAUACUGCCUCCGUAAGGAGGAGGAAGGUGGGGACGACGUCAAGUCAUCAUGGCCCUUACGCCUAGGGCUACACACGUGCUACAAUGGGGUGCACAAAGAGAAGCAAUACUGCGAAGUGGAGCCAAUCUUCAAAACACCUCUCAGUUCGGAUUGUAGGCUGCAACUCGCCUGCAUGAAGCUGGAAUCGCUAGUAAUCGCAAAUCAGCCAUGUUGCGGUGAAUACGUUCCCGGGUCUUGUACUCACCGCCCGUCACACCAUGGGAGUUGUGUUUGCCUUAAGUCAGGAUGCUAAAUUAGCUACUGCCCACGGCACACACAGCGACUGGGGUGAAGUCGUAACAAGGUAACCGUAGGUGAACCUGCGGUUGGAUCACCUCCUUUCUAGA
rnacentral:rRNA from 1 species